rnacentral:lncRNA from 1 species
UGCUGUGGUGCAGGUGGCCGAAGGGGGCGUUACUGUUGCGACUGGCAUCCGCAUCCGGCAGAUGUAGAUGGAACCAAAGUCCAGAAGUUACGCGUCACCCUUGCUCUACAGCCAAACAUGCAGGACUCUAGUAACCCGCGAAAUGAUGGGAUAGCGUUGCAAAUCCUUAAAAGAGUCUUAACGCUAUGUGUUCCAAGAUUACUGAAGCAGGAUUCUGGCCUUCCUGAUAAGAACAUGACCAGAUCCAGCUGGUUUGCAACAAGAUGAACUUCAGUGCUGAGCUUUCACCAAGUUUUUCUCACUACAAUCUCAUUGUAAUACUAAAAUCUCCACCCAAGAUGGAGGUUAUCUGCCAUUUUCUGUACAUGUGUUACCAGAAAGGGGUCCUGAUCCAGACCCCAAAAGAGGGUUCUUGGAUCUCACGCAACAAAGAGUUCGGGGCGAGUCCAUAGAGUAAAGUGAAAGCAAGUUCAUCAAGAAAGCAAAGGAAUAAAGAAUGCCUACUCCAUAGGCAGAGCAGUGGCUUUGGCUGCUCAGCUGCUUGUACUUGUUACUUCUUGAGUAUAUGCUAAACAAGGGAUUGAUUACUCCUUGUUUAGCAGUUUUCUGGGAAAGGAGUGGGCAAUUCCCAGAACUGAGGGUUCCUCCCCUUUUUAGACCAUAUAGGGUGACUUCCUGAUGUUGCCAUGGCAUUUGUAAACUGUCAUGGCGCUAGUGGGAGUGUCUUUUAGCAUGCUAAUGCAUGAGCAGUGAGGAUGACCCGAGGUCAUUUUUGUUACCAUCUUGGUUUUGGUGGGUUUUGGCUGGUUUUGGCCGGCUUCUUUACCACUUCUUUUUAUCAGCAAGGUCUUUGUGACCUGUACUUAGUGCCGACUUCCUGUCUCAUCCUGUGAGUAAGAAUGCCUAAUCUCUCAGGAAUGCAGCCCAGUAGGUCUCAACCUUAUUUUACCCAGCCCCCAUUCAAGAUGGAGUGACUCUGGUUCAAAUGCCUCUGACACAUGUGCCUCAUGUUUGGGCAUGAGACCUCACUGUGUAGGUGCAGAGAAGACCCUGCCUAAACAUUGCCUACACGUUGCUCCUUUUUCCUGCCUCAACUUCCUUAAAAUGACAAGAGCAGAGCCCUUUUGGGAGCUAACAUCAGGACUCCUUUUCUGUACUCUGCUCCGUUGUGCUGCUAGAGCCACAAGCCUAUUAAACUUUGCCUGAAAUAA